CCUACGGGCGGCAGCAGUGAGGAAUAUUGCACAAUGGGGGAAACCCUGAUCCAGCGACGCCGCGUGAGUGAAGAAGUAUCUCGGUACUUUAAGCUCUAUCAGCAGGGAAGAAAACGACGGUACGCGUCUCAGAAUCCCCGCCUAACUACGGUCCAGCAGCCGCGGUAAUACGUAGGAGGCAAGCGUUAUCCGGAGUUAUUGGGUGUAAAGGGAGCGUAGUCGGGGUGACAAGUGAGAAGUGAAAUGCCGGGGCUUAACUGCGGAACUGCCUCGGAUACUGUUCGGCUAGAGUGCAGGAGGGGUAGGCGGAAUUCAUGGUGUAGCGGUGAAAUGCGUAGAGAUCAGACAGAACACCGAUUGCGAAGGCAGCUUACCAGACUACUUCUGACGUUGAGGCACGAAAGCGUGGGGAGCAAACAGGAUUAGAUACCCGAGUAGUC
rnacentral:rRNA from 1 species